rnacentral:rRNA from 1 species
GACAGAGGUGCCGAGCGUUAGGCGGAAUCACUGGGCUUAAAGCGUGUGUAGGCGGAUUGGUAAGUACCUUGUGAAAUCCCACGGCUUAACCGUGGAACUGCUUGGUAUACUGCUUAUCUUGGGCCACUUAGGGGCUAGCGGAACAAACGGUGGAGCGGUGAAAUGCGUAGAUAUCGUUUGGAACGCCAAUGGUGAAAACAGCUAGCUGGGAGUGUGCCGACGCUGAGACACGAAAGCCAGGGGAGCGAACGGG